UCGAGAGGCCCGAUUUUUAUUAAUCAUAAAAGCCAACAAACACGGGCACCAAGGACAACAUAGGGGAAAUUAAUGGAAAUGAAAAUCAAUGAACAAACAACUGGCUGCAGGUGGGGAACUAUCCUGCGUCUUUGUAUAACGCGUGCGAUAGUCCUACCAACUGAGCUACUGCGGUGUCCUUUCCCCAACCACUUUCUUGGGUAUUUAUGUUUUACUGCUAGAGCUUACCCUGGGAGUGUUAGCUAGUGCCACCACUCACAAACUUUGGCAGCAGAUGUGGAAUAUCCUUUCCGCCACAGGUGUCGUGGGCACGUGAUUUUUUUGGUUGAAGGCAACUGGCCAGUAAGCCCGCACAUACUGCCUGAAGGCCGUAUUUGACAUAUCGUGUCCAUGUUUUUGAGUUGUUGCAUACACAGUAGGUACAGUUACAACUUUUAUGCUGUAAAUCUUCCAGUUUUUGUGCGUACGUGUUGCUGCAAUAAUAAUUUCUCAGGAAAGCAUAAUCAUCUAGUGCCAUUUGCUAUUCUACCUUAACUUUUCUGGGGCUUUUAUUCCUGCUUAAUGCAGCCAUUGUAAUCGCCACAUUAUGUAUGUUAGUGCUUUUAGCUUUCAAUUCUUUUUGCUAUCAUGUUGUUGUUUUUUUUGUUUUUUCUAGACAUGACAGCUCUCUCUUAUGGGGACUUAAGAUGCUUCAUUGCGGGCAUACUACCCAGUAUUUUCAGACAGCGGAAACUUCAGCACUCAAGGCCGGUGGCAGAAAAUGAGCCUCGGACCUGCAUGUCUACAGUGCCAUUGAAGAAACUAUUCGAAGCUAUUCCACAUGGGAAAAUGCAAUGACCCGUGCCAUCUUCCAAGCAGCAGUCACCUGGUUGAAGAAUUGCAGUUUACAAGCGGGUAAGAAGUUGGCAUGUUGUGUUAUGCUUAUUGUUCAGUUAGCUUUUAUUCAGAAAUUUAAACUACACUAAUGUUAUUGACUAAGUGAACAUUGUCUAGCAUGUUUACAUUUCCAUAAAAUUGAUUGUUGGUCCUACAUAAGAAUUUAGUGCAUGGUAUAUGAUUAAUAUUUUGUCUUAGGGUUCUAAACUCUACUUACAUCAACUGUCACAUGUAGUCUUCAAAUACCUAUUGACAAUGGCCAGAUAACGUCCAAGGGCUAUCUAUGCAUGCUGUUGCAACAUCAUGCUUCACUGUGGUCAUGCAGAAACUUGCAUAGAUUAUGAUAUAUUCUAUUUUAGACAAUAAAUUUUGGAACACCGAGUAGAGUAAGACAUCCGUUAUUGCAGUUCUAAUUGGUGUUCAGGGCAGCUUGCCAACAAGAUGCAAAGUAAAAUAAAGCGAUAAUAAGUUCCAAGCAGCAAAAGAGCAAGGGAGAUGCUUUGGGUGAACCUGAAUAUGCAUAUUAAAUUAUAGUGUGAAUUAUACUGGCAUUCUGUCAUUAAGAUAUGCCUUCACUUUUAUAUUUUUGGUCCCUUAAUUAUGGUGCUUGUUAUUGUUGUAUUUGUUUUUCUACCAUUGUUCAGCCUUGCAAGGACAGCCACUGAAAAUCGAGGCUUAAAACAAGCGACCAUGCAUUGUGAGUGUUAACUCAGGUAACUUCAUAACUAGCAUAGGAUCAGCCCUUAAAAAUGAUGUGUGCAUUACAGAAACUACAGGGUUAUAAGUAUACAGUUGACAGCUCUCAGUGGGGAAACAGCGUCGUUUUGGAGUGUCAUCGCUAUUUUUUUAUAUGUAGACAUUUCUUAAUCAUGUUUAUGUUAAGCAUAUAACUCUUAUUUGCUGGUUUUACUCUAAAUGAGGUUUUUUUUUUUUCUUUCAUUUUUUUAGUAGCACAGGUUCUUCACAAGCCACUGGGGCCUGCCACCAGCUGACAUCCCUCUUUCUCCUUCUUAGUUCUGUACGUUAGUCUGGUUAGGAUGGGAAUGCAGGUCAGUUUUUCUAGACAUGCAAUUCAUUACCUUUAUAUAAAUUUAGUCACAAUCGGUGCAAGGCAAGCAAAUGUACGUAAUUUGCAAGAAUAAAAGCUUGUAUUUUGCUGGUU